UAAGAUUAUGUACCCAGUAUGCUUUUUACAUUAUUUUUUUUUUUAUUAAAUAAGAACACAAAUUAAAUUAACCUGCAUUUGUGUACAGAGCUGCUCCUAAAUGGAGCCAGCAUGGGCAGACAUCGACACCUUGAGGGAAGAGAUUGCCAGGAGACUGAUGGUUGAUUCUGAAAACCUCAAUGAACUCUGCCACUGUUGCGGGGAAAUAAACACUGGGGAAAGUGACACCUUAGAGGCACCUAUGGACCAUUGGAAUGUCCCAAUGUGGAUGAGGACUUUUGGUGUCCUGCAUGCACAUCACCAACACAAAUGUUCAUGACCUGACACUGUGGAGUCCUUCAACUUCAUUAAUAACAUCACCCCGGACAUCAAGUGGCAAAAGGACAUCAAAAGCUUCAGCAGAGGAUGUAGGCCUACUUCCGACUGCAAUUCAAGCCAGCUACAAGUUGUGGGUGCAGGGGUUUUCUGCUUGGGCCGGCACAAAAAUGUCAGACCUGAAGCUCUAUUUGGCCUGUGAGAGGUACCAGUCCCGAGCCAUCACAGUGCAGCCAUCACCGUCCUCCAGAAAUAUUUUAUUUCUCUUAAAGCCUCAGACGUAUAGGCCCCUCUCUCGCUCCUGCAGCAUCCAACUCAGCAGCAGCACAGAAGAGGGUUGGUCUCUCUGCCCUGGUGGAUGAGCCCUCCAGAAGCCAUGGAGAAGACGGCAGAGACAGCCCGCUGCGACCUGGAGCAGACUAAGUGCAGGAGUUGAUGCAGCCAGUCUUCCUUUGCUUCUUUGCAUGUUGGCUGUUCCUGUGGAUGCCACACAGGAUCUUGCAGAUGCACCUUACAUUCCCCCAGCAUUUGUGCACCAGUACUAUGAUAAAGGCUGGGCUGUACAGGACCCAUCCAGAGGGUCCGGAGGGUGGUCACAGGGCAUCAUUAGGCAGCUGUCCCCAACUUACAGCUGCCAAUUU